GGAAGAAAAUACUGCCUCAUGCAUCGCCGGACCUUUGCUCCAUGCACAUCUCAACAACUUCAUCUACAUGGACAAUAUCUUCAUCGACAAUUUUACCUUUACUUGCAUGUAGACGUUGACCUCCAUUACCCUUCGUCUGCCCUUUUCUUACAAUCACACGGGGACAACAAUAACCCACUACUUUGCACAUGUACCUCCAUUAUCAUUCUUCUUCUCUAUAUAAAGCAUUCACUCAGAUUUGGUCCCUGGUACACGAGAAAGACUACCACCUUUGUUCUUCAAUCUUCAAAUGAACCCUUCUUCAGUCCCUUUUGGUCAAUCUUUUCGCUUGGGUUUAGAGCUUUGGUAGGAUAAGUCACUAUUGUCAAUGUUACCAUCUCCACCGCCAUCGUCUCUCGUCUUUUACCAUGUCGUUGCUCCGCCUCCUUCCUGAUUCCGUCAAGCAGGACCAAUCUCCGACAAUUGGCUUUUGGAAGGAACGUUGUACAUUCGUUUUUAUUCGGUUUAUUGAAGUUUUAAUUUUAGGGUUGCCAACACCCAUGUAAAACAUUUGAAGAUGGAAACCUGCAUUUGGACAAAAAUCCGAAUUAAACCUGAUCCAGAAAAAGUGACAAAGACAAUAUUGAGAAGAAGGAUCUUGGAAAUGAUGACAGUUUGAUUGGUUAUUUUCGUCUUGAGUUCUAUUGAGCAUUUCUGGUUGCUGAAAAGGUGAUUGUUUCUACCAAGUGUCCAAGGUAAGAAAAGCAAUACAUUUGGGAAGGAGAAACUCAGAAUAGUUCAUAUGUAAUUAGUGAAGAAACUGAACUUGAAAACAGAUUUUGUGUUAUGAUAUUUAUAAUUUUUUAAGCCUCGGCAUAUUAGGUAAAGGGAUUCAGCCCUGUUUUCUUUUUUGCUUUUAUGAGAGCUAUGUGACAUAUUUACUAGCAUACAAUGGGUAUUAUUGAUUUGAACAUUACCCAAGUGACUUAGAGAAAUUCUAAAGCCCACUGUGAUAAAUAGACAUGACCGAGAUUUAAUUAUUCA